CAGUCGCCGCGGGAAUACGUAGGGUGCAAGCGUUAAUCGGAAUUACUGGGCGUAAAGCGUGCGCAGGCGGUUAUAUAAGUCAGGUGUGAAAUCCCCGGGCUCAACCUGGGAACUGCAUUUGAGACUGUAUGGCUAGAGUGUGUCAGAAGGGGGGUAGAAUUCCACGUGUAGCAGUGAAAUGCGUAGAUAUGUGGAGGAACACCGAUGGCGAAGGCAGCCCCCUGGGCCAAUACUGACGCUCAUGCUCGAAAGCGUGGGGAGCAAACAGGAUUAGAUACCCGCGUAGUCCCUGUCUCUUAUA
rnacentral:rRNA from 1 species